rnacentral:rRNA from 1 species
UGGGGAAUCUUGCACAAUGGGGGAAACCCUGAUGCAGCGACGCCGCGUGAGCGAUGAAGCCCUUCGGGGUGUAAAGCUCUUUCGGCAGGGACGAUAAUGACGGUACCUGAAGAAGAAGCUGCGGCUAACUACGUGCCAGCAGCCGCGGUAAUACGUAGGCAGCGAGCGUUGUUCGGAGUUACUGGGCGUAAAGAGUGCGUAGGCGGUUUUCUAAGUUUGGUGUGAAAUCUCCCGGCUUAACUGGGAGGGUGCGCCGAAGACUGGAAGGCUUGAGUAUGGGAGAGGUAAGCGGAAUUCCUGGUGUAGCGGUGAAAUGCGUAGAUAUCAGGAGGAACACCUGCGGUGUAGACGGCUUACUGGACCAUCACUGACGCUGAGGCACGAAAGCGUGGGUAGCAAACAGGAUUAGAUACCCUGGUAGUCCACGCCCUAAACGAUGCAUACUUGGUGUGGGUAGUUCAUUCUAUCCGUGCCGGAGCUAACGCGUUAAGUAUGCCGCCUGGGGAGUACGGUCGCAAGGCUGA